GAUGAACGCUGGCGGCGUGCUUAACACAUGCAAGUCGAACGAUGAAGCCCAGCUUGCUGGGUGGAUUAGUGGGGAACGGGUGAGUAACACGUGAGUAACCUGCCCUUAACUCUGGGAUAAGCCUGGGAAACUGGGUCUAAUACCGGAUAGGAGCGUCCACCGCAUGGUGGGUGUUGGAAAGAUUUAUCGGUUUUGGAUGGACUCGCGGCCUAUCAGCUUGUUGGUGAGGUAAUGGCUCACCAAGGCGACGACGGGUAGCCGGCCUGAGAGGGUGACCGGCCACACUGGGACUGAGACACGGCCCAGACUCCUACGGGAGGCAGCAGUGGGGAAUAUUGCACAAUGGGCGCAAGCCUGAUGCAGCGACGCCGCGUGAGGGAUGACGGCCUUCGGGUUGUAAACCUCUUUCAGUAGGGAAGAAGCGAAAGUGACGGUACCUGCAGAAGAAGCACCGGCUAACUACGUG
rnacentral:rRNA from 1 species